rnacentral:lncRNA from 1 species
GCUUGGUGAACAAUUAUGACAACUUUGGAGGGAAGAAGCAGUAUGUGAACUGGGCUAGAAGUCAUGGACAGUACCUUACAUCAGAUGAUGAUUUCUUCAGGAGCCCUUUUGUUAAGGGUUACUACAUAAACCAUGUUAAGGUUAGUGGAAUCUAUGUUGUCUUGCUUGCUUGUUAAAUUUGUAUAUGUAAUCAGGACCUUUGGUAAUGAAAUAUGCUGUCUUUCACUUGACAAAAUCUUGUAGUACUUUUUUGUCUCUUUGAUCUAGUUUUUGUUCCUUAAAAUCUCCUGUUUAUAAAUACUUUUACAUUGGUUUUGCUGAUGAAUGAUAAUUGUAUAAUAACUUAAUGAGUCCAUGUGUUACAUUUGUUUUACUAUAUUAUAUUCCAACUUCUGGUUUUUCUUUUCUUCUUCUGCAGACUGUUAUUAACAGAUACAACAGCUUUACCGGUAUUCAUUACAGAGAUGAUCCUACAAUCAUGGCCUGGGAGCUUAUGAAUGAGCCUAGGUGCACAUCAGAUCGUUCAGGGAGGACUAUUCAGGUCACAAUUAUCUUUACUUUUACUUGUGUAUUCCCAUUCAAGCACCCUUUUUCUUUUUCUUUUUCUUUUGACUUUUCCAUCCUAAUAAACAGUGCUGCUUUCAACUUUUGACUCCUCAACUUUUCAUCACAGGCUUGGAUCACGGAAAUGGCUUCCUUUGUGAAGUCCAUAGACAAGAAUCACUUAUUGGAGGCUGGUCUAGAAGGGUUUUAUGGACAAUCAACACCUCAGAGAAAGAAACUGAACCCUGGUUUUGAUAUAGGAACAGACUUCAUUGCAAAUAACCACAUCCAAGGCAUUGAUUUUGCCACAGUCCAUUGUUAUCCUGACCAAUGGUAACUAAACAUAGAUCAUUGUAUUCUUAAAAUUCAAAUAUCAUUGACAUUCAAGACAUGCAAGAUGCAACUAGAUAUUCUUAAUUAGUUAAUGAAUAUUUUCAUUGCAUGAAUAGGGUAUCCAGUUCAAAUGAUCAAUAUCAACUUGCAUUCUUGAACAAAUGGCUUAGUUCUCACUUUCUAGAUGCACAAUAUGCUAUAAGGAAGCCAAUACUUGUAGCAGAGUUCGGAAAAUCUUACUGGCUAAUGUAUACAGCUUCUGACCCAUCUCAGAGAUUCAAAGUUUCUGCAGCCUUCCAUGAAGCAAGUAGCCAUGGCCUUACUGUUGCUAGAACUUGGGCAUUCAGUGAUGGUGGUUACAGACCCUUACAAUAUUCUCCUGGAUUCUAUAAUGAGCAAAUGUUUAAGGUACCCUUCACAAGACUAAAGGCCAAAAGCUCAAAAUAAAGUUGAGAAUUUUAUUUUUAAUAUAUCAUUUGCUUGUUAAAUGCAUUAUUUUUUAAUCUGGUUUCUAUUUUAUGGUUUUAAGGGGUUGGAUUUUGUUAUAGCUGAGGCAAGGAAGUAUAGAAUUAAGCUCAUACUGAGCUUGGUGAACAAUUAUGACAACUUUGGAGGGAAGAAGCAGUAUGUGAACUGGGCUAGAAGUCAUGGACAGUACCUUACAUCAGAUGAUGAUUUCUUCAGGAGCCCUUUUGUUAAGGGUUACUACAUAAACCAUGUUAAGGUUAGUGGAAUCUAUGUUGUCUUGCUUGCUUGUUAAAUUUGUAUAUGUAAUCAGGACCUUUGGUAAUGAAAUAUGCUGUCUUUCACUUGACAAAAUCUUGUAGUACUUUUUUGUCUCUUUGAUCUAGUUUUUGUUCCUUAAAAUCUCCUGUUUAUAAAUACUUUUACAUUGGUUUUGCUGAUGAAUGAUAAUUGUAUAAUAACUUAAUGAGUCCAUGUGUUACAUUUGUUUUACUAUAUUAUAUUCCAACUUCUGGUUUUUCUUUUCUUCUUCUGCAG